GGAGAGGGAGGUGAAGGGCGACGCGAGCAGCGAGCGAGUCAGAGGCUGCGUUAUCCCAGCGUGGAGCUGCCGGAGCCGCGGCGCGGGGGAGGGGAAGGGGAAGGCGCGGGCAGGCGGCCUUGGCGCUGCCGGCCGAGGGCUCCGAGGGCUCCGGGCGCUGGGGAGCGGCGGCGGCGCGGGGCCGGCGGGCGCGGGGCUGCCCGGGCGGGAGGCGCCGCUCCCCGCGCAGCCCGGGAGCGCUCCUGUCGGAUUCCGGCGAACCUGUAAUGAAUGACAGGGCGAUCUGCCUCCCUGUGUAGCUAACUAGGUCACUGCCGGCACUUAAUUACUGUUUGUUUCAUUUUAGUGCGUGCCUUAUGAAUAAACCGGCUAUUAGGCUGAUGCUUCAAGUAACACUAUCCAGCACCAAGGAUCACAAUCCAAGACUGGAACAGUUUCGUCAACUAGCUGGAUGUCCUGUGAGAAUUCCCAAAGGAUUACUUGGUUUACUAAUCUGUCCUCAAGGACUUCUGGUGGCUUCAUUGCUAACAAAGGCUUAGCCCAGUAAGCAUUGUCUGCUAUUACUUUUUAUUUGUUUAAUUUUUAAGAAAGAUGAAUGUUUAGUGAGCACAAUGUUAAGAGCUUUUUUUUGUCCUCAUGGUGGUACUACUGCUUUCAGUUAGGUGUGAGAAUGAUAGAAGAGCUUUGCACAGCUGUUUGCUUUGAUUGUCUUUGCCCUGUCCCAUCCUCACAAAAUGUUAGGGACGCCUCUUGUAGCAAUAUAAAUAGAACAGAGGGCUACUCUGUGGUCACAUGCCUCCAAUAAGAGGGGAAAAAAUGCACAAAAAAACUCCAAAACAGGUCAAAACAAACCCCUAUGGUUGCAGGAGAGGAAAGGCCUUCCAGUUCUUUUUAUAUGAUCUUCAUAAGCAUGGUUACUGUAGAAUUGAGAGUUUUAUGGUUUAAAGUUAGUAGUAGUGUUCUAUAAAAAAUUCUUCAUUAAGUAUUCCACUAGGUAUUUGAAUAUUAUACUGAACAUUUGUUAUAGUGAAGGGUCACCAAAAGUCUGCUUUUUGGUGCUGUUAUGGUCCCAGGAGAGAUGCAGAAAGGAAAACUUGGGUUAUUUUUGGUCUUGCUGGUUUAAAAGGCAAGUUGCAGUUCCCGGGUGUAGAAGUCAGUGGAGCUGUAUGUGUGCCUGCAAAUGGUUAAGGCGCCAGCUGGAGGGAAACAGGCACUUUUCAAACCAAUAGUUGAAGCAGCUUCAUUGUUUUUUGACACCUUUUCAUGGAAAGCCGGGGGAGGCAAUGUUUGCAAAUUUUUGAAGGGAAAGUUGAAAAACUGGCAGAAAUUUAGAUGGCGUUGUAGGCAGUCCAGCAGAUCUUUCCCUGCCUUGUGAAGGCAAGGGAAGAUAUGCUGGACUGCCUACUGCUUUUGGGUUAAUUUGUAUUGCCUCAAUAAAAGUUGCUGAUUUUAGAUGCGGAGUAGCAGUAACAUAUUAAAACCCACAGCUUUGUAAAUGCAAAUGAAGUUAUGGGAAGUUUUAACAUUUGGAAAGGAAUUAGUAAAUAGGCAGGUGCAGGAGCCGGGGUGUGACGGGGAGAGACCAGUGCAGGCAGCUAUCUGGGGUGGCACAUUUUGAGUGGAAACUAUCAAAUGCAGCCCUGAAGCAGCCUUGCCGAGUGUGCUGUUCUUUGUGCUGGUGCCCUCCUCGUAUCAGUCAGAGAACAGGAGCCUUUCAAGCCACAGCUCCUGUAGCUUCUUCCAGGACCUGAACUCAAAUGCCUGAAAGGGUUUUGUGUCAAUGUGUUAAGUCCAUUGGAACUGCAGUCCAGGAGUUGCACAGCAUUCCCCUGAAAAUGUUGGGUCAUCUCUCAAAAACGGAGUCCUAAUAUUCUGUAUAAUAUCUUACAGAUGAUAAAAGUAGUUAGGACUUAAGUGCUGAUAAAUAGUUCUCUUUAUCACUCAUGUUCUCUUUUUCACUCAUGUCAAAAUUAAUUGGACAAAGCUGCUGUCAGUUCACUACUCAAAGACAGUAAGUAAAGAUACUUGCAAAGAAAAUCACCAGUUGAGUUCAUAUUCUGCAGCAGAGUUGCCAAUUGGUUUUUAGUAAGGGUUUGCUAUUUUAAAAUACUUCAUGUGUAUCUUGAUCUCUAAAAAAGGACCUUCCAGCAUUUUUGUGGAGGUGGAAGAAAGGACUAGAUUGUUAAGAUGAAUAUAAAAUCAUUUGUCUGAAUACAAGGUAGAGUUUGGAUGUAUAUACAUUUAGCAUGUUUGAUCCCAGAAUGUAGCUAUCCUAAAUAUAAUACUCUUCCUCAUAUGCUGUGAUGCACCACUUACACAAGGGUAUGUGGAGAGGAGAUGGGAGCACUGCAAGCAGCUGAUACUUAUGUUCUUCAUUUGUAUAUCAGUCACUUUUUAAAGUGACUGCAAUUUCUACACAGCUUAGCAGUGGUUUUCACAUGGUUAUAUUACUUUAAAAACAUUUUAUACUUUGCAGUGGUUAUUUAACUUAAAGACAUGAACAAUAAAGUUUUGUUGUUUUAAUGUCUGCUUGCCUAAUUGUAAUGAAAGGAGAAGUAUGAGCUAUGCAAACAAAUUUUAUUGAAGUAUAAAAACAGAGCUAGCAAUUUACACAAUCUACAGAAAUGACAUGUUAUUACCACAAACUAGCUGCUACAGGAAGUAGCUCUUGAAUUGUGUGCCAGAUUAUGUAUUAACUUGAGUAUCUGCUUACCCCAAUACAUGGUAUUAAUUUGGGACAGAAUAUUCCAUGCACUUCAAGAGCGCCUUAUACCUUUGAAGUGGGGAAGGCAAAUCUAACACACAACUCAUAGCUCUUUUUUUCUGGACAAGUUUUGAUGUGAAAACUCAAGUCUCCUAAAAAUAUGAAUUAUAAUAUAAUUUAGGAGGCAGUUCUUUCAUGGGGUCACAUCUUAGUCGUGAACAUGUGCACAUCCGUAUCUCCUCUUGGGUCUUGUGGUGCUGUUUCAUUCUAGGAAAAACUGAGAUUUUGGGCAAAUCCCUGAUCCUGAAAACCUGCAGGUAAAUAAUUUACAUAAUGAUAUCACUAACCUAAUACAGUCUUUGACUUGCCAGGGUAGUAGCUCAUAAAUUGGUAGGAGUCUGACUAGCUAGUUUCUGGAUGGCAGUAAUAGCUUCAUCCUGCAGCAGGGUGGCUCCUCACAUACUCAGACUUUUUCAAUACUCAAACCAAUGGCAAGUUCUGGAACCUCUGCUAGUGGUUAGGUAUCAGUAAGUCGUUCGACAACUGGUUUAAUAUAUUAGUUUAAAUGGGUGCUUCUCCCAAACAGAAGCAUAUCAUCCGCCUUCGUCUCUGUAUUCCAUCCUGUUGGCAUUGGCAUUCACACAGCUGUACUGCAACCAAGAUAAAGAUUAAUUCAGCUGAAAAUGUACAGGACAAAAAAGUCGCCUUUUAAAGGGACUUGUUACCUAGGAAGAUUCAUUGUGUGAAGGGCAGUGUCAGAGCAAGAAAAGGGGGGAAUAAGCAGCUCAGGGAAGACAGGACUCCCUCUUCCUUUUUUCCACCUUCAAAGGCUCCAGCAUACAUGUGGUUUGGAUACCAACAGCAGGACAAAGCUUUGUCACUCCUGUUCACACUGAUUAGGGACUUGAAGAAACCUGGAAUCAAGGCAGUUAGGUGCUGCCACGAGUUCCUUGUUGCUGUUUAAAAGGAUGAUGAAGAGAGUUGGUGGGUCUUCUGAUAAAUAUCUCCUCUGGUUUACCUAGCCCAGUUGCCACAGGCAUUUUGAAAGGGGUGCACCUGGCUGAAUGGUUAACUGUGCACUCUAUUUCUUUUUCAGGGCAGGUGGGGUACAACUGUUAUCUUGUGGUAUUGACAAGAAAACAGAAAUAGAAAACUAACUUUCAUUUUACAUGCAGCAUGUCUAUGUGGGAUGGACACAGACAAUACAGAAAUUAGUUGAAAAAGCAUUUUGUCUGGUAACUACUGUAUUAUAUUUUUCUUCUGUUGCCUACUUUCAGUCUGUGUGACACAGAACAUUGCACUGCAUCCAGAGACCUACAAUGUGGAGUUUGCAGGCCUUGGGGAUAAAGGGAAGUUGAGACUAAAAUAUCCAUAAAGAGCAAUAUUUGCUGGAUAUUUUCAAGAUGGAGAUUUGGAAAUAAAUUUCUGCCCCUCACUCAUGAAGAAUCCAAGAUAGAACCUUUUGGACCAUGGCACAUCUAUAUUUAAAUUUUCUAUACAUAAAUACUUUUUUUUUUCCCCCACCUGUAUUUUUCUGUGUGUAAAUUUAAAGAUAAGUGCAUAUAUGAAAUAAAUUCCGUAUCAAAAGUAGUGCAAAUAUGGGAUAUUGAUGGAAUGGCUAUGCUUCCUACAUGUCUUCAUACAGAUGAGAAAGACAAGACACAUACCACAGGCUUCGUUUUUGUAAGAUUAAUGUUUUCAGUCAACAUUAAAGCUGUAUGUUGAAUUGCUGAAGUACUGUCUUGCCUCCCCAUGACUUUCCAAACAGCUGCCUUGCUGUAGACCCAUUGGUUUUAAUUCCUGGUAAAUCUUGUUCAUUUUAGCCUCCUUCCCAGCUUCUGCUUCCUCUACCUCCUCUCUGAAACAAUUUGGCACUGGAGCUACAGCACAUCAGUCUGGAGAUGCAUGACUCGACCAUGACUAUGGAGGGAAGAAUGAAAUUUCAAUUAAUCCCAAAUUAUAAUUUUAUGUUAUAAGCAGUUAAGCAACUGAAAAACAACUACAGACUUUAAAAAGUUGAUUUUCAGUUAGAAAACCUCCCCUUUCCCAUGUCAGUCAUAUUAAAGCUAUGCUAUGCUUUAGAAAAACGAGGAGAGAUUAAGCUCUUUGAACAGCUCACGAUGGAAGUUUCACCACUUCAGUGAUGGAAAAGGGUUGGGCUGGAGCCCAGAAUACUGCAGCAACAUCAGCCUCACCACCUCCUCUGUCUUACUUCAACAACUAUUCUACAGAGUAACACAAGGGCUCAUCAUAUGUUACAAUCCCAGUACAGCCUUGGGAGGCUCCAGGAGGACAAGUCCAAAUACCUUUGCAUAUGUCAUAAGAAGAAAUGUCAUGUGGUUUAGACCUUUGGACAGGUUCAGAGUAGUGAAAGUUAGGUAAGUUCAUGUUCUUCAGUGUAAAACCUUUUUUCUCACAAGAAGACAUUAUAAGAAGUGUAUUAUGUGAGCAGGAGUGGAAAUGACAAAACAAAAUAGCUGAUUUGUCCCUCUUUUUAAAAGUAAAAAUUUCAGAUUUUAUCUACAAAGUCCAUACUCUUCAAGCCCAGCUGUUGUACUUCUUGCGCAACUAAGAAAUACUAUAUAAAGCACUUGGUGUUAUGACAGAAUUUCAUUAACAUUAUGGGAUUAUCAAUGUAUAAAGUUGUGCACACAGAUAACUGAAGGAACAUGGUUUAAGAAUACAAACACUUCCUGGUAGAGACUCUAUUUGUUAUCUGCAGAACCUACAGUUCCCGAUAAUAUAUGGCAUACCGAUUGGGUAAUCUAAGUGCUACCACAGUAAAAAAAAAAAAUUAAAAAAUUAUUUCCAUCUGAGGUUAACCAUAAAAUUAAUUUGAAGGGUACUAUAGCACCUAAACUUAAAAUGGUUGAUACGUUUUAAGAAAAAAAAUCUUAAUUUUUAAAUGGCUCAUCUCAUGAACCUGGCUGUGUUUUCCAGAAGGCAGAGUGCCAUACAGAGCCUGUAUUCCUGCUUCUUGCUACAAAGCCCAAAUUUGGUAUCCUUUAACAUUCACAGUAUGAUAUUUGUUGAUGAAGUGAACAAGGAGAACAUUCUGCACUUGAAAAGCAAUCCAGCUUCCAAAGGAAUAGUACUUCUAGUCUGUAGGAAAAGGAAAAUCUGAGCCCUGAAUAAAAAAAUGAGCAUUAGGGCUGCAUAGUAUCCAGCUUAUAGGUGAAGAACUUUACAUGUACUAUUCUGUCCCAAAUAUUCCUGAAACUUGGCUGUGAUGCUUGGAAAAACUGUCUAGCAGUCAAUCAGCCUCAGAAUCUGCAAUUUUAAGUUAGAUGACUAAUCUACCUGUACAGAGGGAUGGGACAAUUGCCCUGGAACAGGAACUGCAAAACUCAGGAGUGGGACUGCUUUGUCCAGUGAAAAAAUCUUGUGCAAAGGAGGGCCUUGGAGCUUUUUCAACAGAGAUAUUGCUGUCUGCUGAUACCUGUUUUAGUUAAGAUUUGUGGCCUAGAAUGCUAUCCCUGAUUGGUGUUUAUGUCCUUUCAUUUAAAAUAUGAUGAGGAAUCCUCUUCAGGAGGAAGACUUGUCAUCCUCCUGCUUCAAAUACAUUAGCUUGGAAGUUACAGCCUCCACUGAAGAAAAGCCAGAUUCUAUUUUAAGUGAGAGACCACAUCUGUAUUCACCUUGUAGGAUGUAUGCAGGCUCUAUUUCUCAAGCUUAGAGGCUUUUUCCCCUUUUGUGUAGGAUAUGAGCUAAGGAGCACUCCACACAGGUUUCUCUCAGGGACAGUGCUGAGGUGGAGUGGCCUGCUGCAGUGAAUUUCAGACAGGUAGUGAGUUGUUUUCUGUUUAUUAGAUUCUCAAGAUGUGUAUGGGCCUCUACAAGUCUUCUCCAAAGACAACUCAGAAUGACUUAUAAAGGCUGUCUCCUAUCAUCUCCUGUGCAAACCAGGAGACUGAACUGCCUUAGAAGGUGAUGUAUUUCUGAUAAAUGUACAAUCUGUCAUUAUUUUAGGACAAGAAGAGAUCUGGAACUUGAACAGCAGAAUUACAGACUUGGAAGGUUAUGAAGACUUAAUUAAAUCCAGAAGCCUAUGGCCACAUUAAAUAGGUGGGAGCUGUGAACUGGCAAAAGCCUUCAUCACUGAAUCAAUAGGAGGCCAUUCUCCUAAGAAGUCCUUCCUCAAGGAAGCAGGCCUGAUCCUCACUAUAUCAAGACUUCUUGGUCACAUGAGAUUACCAAGCGGGGAGCUCAAUGGCAAAUGAAAUAUAGCAACAGGGAGUCAUCUCCAGCACUGGUAAAAGCCUACAUGAAGUGAUGGCAGGCAUACUAAUCAUCUUUGGCACUGAUGACUCUUGGGAUACUGUGUGUUUCUCGGACACUGGUGAGUGGAUGUGACUCAGUGUGGAUAGGACUACUCUGCUCAUCUCCAUAGCUAGCACCAACAACCUGAGGAUGUUCCCUUAGUCUCCUCGUCCACUCCUAGCCUCAUUUGGGGUGGUGAAAGUAACACCUGUCACAACAGGCCUUGGCACUACAAUGUUUCUAGCCUCCUCACACUUGUAUCACAUUUCUCCUCAGGACAUGUUAUGGGCCCUUCGCAUCAGGGCCACAGUAUUCCUCAGUGCUACAGAUGUGUUAAAGGAGGCAUCUCCCUGAGAUUUCCUCUGGCAGGUGAUAAAGAUAUGCAGAUCUUGGAGGCCAAGCGAGGUUUCUGCUGUCAGGACAGUAAAAGUGCAACUCCUUAUUCUAGGGAACACUGGGUUCCAGACAUGUGUUAGCACCAGAAGCAUGGAUUAAGUGCAAAAAAUCCAAUGACAAUUUCAUGACAAAGGUAAUUGGUGAGUCCACUAGGGCAGGUGUCCUGCUGGAGCUACUACUCAAGAGCAAACUGGCUGGGGGAGUGGAGCUUGAGGGCAGCUUUGGCUGCAACCCUGAGAUUGUAUAGUUAAAACCCCUGAGAUAAAUGAGCAAAACAAAUAAAAAAGUUGCCAGCCUUGACUUUUAGAGAACAAAUUUCAGCUUGGUUGUCUUGUUCAGCUGGGCAGGGGAUAAUUGUCCGCCCUGGGGACAGCUGGUUGAUCUUCAGGAGCAGCCUCCUCAAAACACAGAAUUAGUCCAUUCCAAAUCACAGAAAGAUGAGCAUAUGUACAAGGCCAGUAUGGAUGAGCAGGACACCCUUGGCUGACCUCAAAUACAAAAAAAAAAAAAAAAGGCAGAAGGCAGAAACAGAUCCAGGAUUACCUGAUUACCUGGAUGGAAUAUAGUCUGCAAGGAGGGAAUUAAGAAAGCCAGAGCUUAGCUCGUGUUGCAACAGCAAGGGAUGUGAAGUGCAACAAAAAGGGCUUUAGUGAGUAUAUUUGCAAAAAAAAGGCAGCCUAUGGAAAAUGUGGGCCAAGUAAUCUACAUGGCAGGGGGACCUACUGACAAAAGGCAUGGAAAAAAGUGAAGUGUUCAAUGCCUAUUCUGCUUUUGAUUGUUUUAUUUUACUUUUUUUAUUGGCAACAUUUACCCUCAGUCCUGAGGCUAAUAGCUGCAUCUGAGAGAGUGAGGCAGUAGACACAGUAGAGAAGGAUUGAGCGCUUAAAUGAGUUGGACCUCCACAAGUUCAUGGAAACAGGUGGGAUGCAUCCAAGGGUGCUGAGGAAGCUAGCCCAUGUCACUGUGAGUCUGCUGCCCAUUGACUUCGACAGGUUAUAGUGAUUGGGGAGGUCCCUGAUGGACAGAAGAAACAGGAAAACCUUAAAGAAGGUUAAGAAAGAGAAUCCAAGGAACUACAGGCUAAGUAGUCUAACCUCAGCCUCCUGGAAGAUUUUUCCUUCUGGAAACCAUUUCUGACCUUAUUAAGUGCAAGAAAGUGAUUAGAAAUAGGCAGCAUGAAUUUACCAAGGGCAAACUGUCCCGAUCAACCUGAUUGGUUGAUCAUUUUAAGACGACUGGUUCUCUGGAAAGGGAAGAGUAAUGAAUAUUGCUUUCUUUGACUUUAGCAAGGUCUUUGAUAGUAUCCUACUAGGUCUUUGAUAGCAUCCUACUAGUCAAAAUAGUGAGAUAUGGACAGGAUAAGCAUGAUAAGGAUGAUAAACUGGAUGGAAAAUUGACUGAACUACCAGGCUGAACAGGUUGUGAUUGGCAGUAGAAAGUCUAUCUGACACCAGGUUGCUAGUGGCAAUCCCCCUCAGGGACAGGUUCUGAGGCCAGUGCAGUUUGGUGUCUCCAGUGUUAAUGAUCUUGACUAUGAGAGAUAGUGCACCAUCAGCAAAUUUAUGGAUGAUACCAGCCUUCAGGGGAGUGGUUGAUGUGCUGGAGGGCAGAGCUGUUAUUCAGAGGGACCAGGACAGGCUGGAGGAAUGGGUUACCAAGACCCUCAGGAAGCUCAGCAAAGACAAGUGAGAAGUCCGGUGGUGGGCAUGGAAUAACCCCCUACACCUGCAUGCACUAGAGCUCAAGUGACUAGAGAGCAGGUUUGCAGAAAGGGACCUGGGCUCCUCCUGGACACAUUAAGCAUGAAUUGGAAGUUGGGACAAACAAGGUCAACCUCAUCCUGUAUUGUAUUUGCAAGAUGUAACCAGCAGGUCCAGCAGGGAAGUAGUUAUUCACCUCUGGCUCUUGUGAGGCUGCUUCUUGAGUACUGGUUUUGGCUGCUCAGCACAAGACAUUGACAUACUGGUCUGAAUGCAGCAGACUGUCACGAAGAUCACACAGGCUCGAGUACAAGCAUAUAAUGAGAACAUGGUGGGGUGAAUAUAGAGAAAAUAUCCAGAGUCUUCUUGGAGGUGUAUGGUGAUAGGAUGAGAGCUAAUGGACACAAGUGGCAAUACAGGAAAUUAUGCCGGAAAAAGAUGUCAAAUGCUGGAAUGGGUUUUCAAUAGAUGUUGUGGAAUCUUGGUUCCUGGAGGUAUUCAAAACCUGACUGAGCAGCCUGCUUUAGUUGGAGCAGCUUUGAAUGAAAAGUUGGACUACAUCUCCUCCAGAGAUCACUCCAACCUGUCCAUCAUUUCUGUUUCUAAACACUCUGCUUAACUUCAUCAUUAGCAAAACUGUAUGAGAAUGUGAUGUUGCUGCACUCACGGUGUUGUGCAGGGCUGUAUGUAGAGCUGUGCAUUACAAGAAUAAUUAUAUAAAAAGAAAAACUGACUUACCUUAGUAUCUUUCUGUUAAAAAGUAUGCACAUUCUAAACAUAGCGCUUGGAAGAAAAAUGCCAUCUAUCUCCUUAUGACUGUGAUCAAAUUCUAAACAUUUUAUAUGAAACAGUAUGAACUUCAUUUAUCUCAGUCAAAACUUAAUGUACAUGAUACAUAUUUUAAUGAAAUAUAUGACUUGUCCAUCUUCCGGUGUAAUCAUUCACGAUUUUGCAAAAUAGAUAUGGAUCUCUGACUUGGCAGCAGCUUCCACAGGUACAGGUAACAGGACAAAUACAAGGGAGUGAAUAAGCACAACCCUGGUCUUAAAGAAAAACUUCCAGUAUAUUUUUAAGUUUUGGUAACUGGAAAGUAUUAUUUCUAUUUUGUUUUAAGUCUAUCUUUUUGUUAGUUUGUUAAUGCCUCUGUCUCUGUGACAAAAUAGUUAGAAUAUAAAACUUCUUUUCCUUUCCUUAGUAGUAUGUUAACAAAUCCACACACUGGCUUAUAUUUUAUUAGAAAUAUGGGGAAGGGGAAAAUGGGAUUUGUCAAAUGGGGAAAAAAAAUAUAUUUAUCAGCUUUCAACACUUGGAUUAAUUUAUAUCAUGCUCUGUAAGAAAAAUUAUGUAGCUCUUCAGUUUUGUUCUAGAAGAGGUUCUGUGAUCCAAAAACCGUAACAUUUUCAGCUCAUCUAAUGAAAGUGUCACUGGCAUGCUGGUAACACAAAUAUGCUUCUACAAUAGAAGUUUUAACUAAGGAGUCUCUUUUCCCUUAGUUAAGAAAAUAAUUUCUAUUUAAAUAUCUUUGAAAUUUCAAUAUCUGCAUUUUUUUUUAAUAACGUAUAGUUUAAAGCCUAUAAUAUAAUCUGAAAACUAUCAAACAUACAAUCUUCCUUAUGAGCCAGGACUUUGAUUACAUAAAACUACUUUGUUGGUUCAUGGUGAAUAUUCAUAAAUGGUAUAUGUAUGGUACUUAUAUGCACAGUAUAAAAUACAAUUGUAAAUAAACUCCCUAUACUUAUGAGAGAUUUUAAAAACACAAAUUAUUCCUUUCUACAUCCUUUUUGUCUAUUUUUAAUUAAUGCCUGUUUUGGGCAUAUUAUCUCAGUAUAAUUUCUGUAAUGAUGAUGUCUCUGUAGGAUCAUCAAUAGUGCCUCUACAGUGAGAACCAGAAGAUAGUCUAUAUUAGCUACUAGUUUACUUGAUCAUGUCCUGGAAUAUCCCUAGCCUUCAGUCAAAAUAAUUGAAUUUCUCUCCUGUUUUAGACUGGAUAGAGGCAGCUGAUAGGCCUGGAGUCAUAGUCAAUGGGGAUCUAGUCAAAACCAUCGAUAUUGUCCAGAAAGUGAGUCAACUCAUUUUAAAGCAGGCAUCUACUUUUAGUCAAAUGAGUCACUCUCUAGACUCUAUUGAUGUAACUAUGUCAAGCUGGUUGAGACGGAUCCCACCUUUCCAUUCCCUAGAUGUUUCUGCUCACUUGAGGGUGAAUUGAAGCACUUCAAACAGACAUUUGUGGUGCAUUUUGUCUCAGCCUUACUGAAUUAGUGGUAAGUCACCAGUCUGGCAUUGCCAGCUGCAUACGCUGACUCGACUAUACAUGAACUCUUCUUGGUCCAUACGUGAGUCUCUGGUGCAUUCAGCAUUUAAAUACAAUUAAGUUCCUUCGGUGCUCUCACUAAAAACUGACUUUAAUAAAAGCCAUAUUUACACUUCAGAUAGCUUGCUUUUUAAAUAGCUCCAGAACUUUUAAGUUGGCUGACAGAUUCUAAAAAAUCUUCCAAGUGUUGUACAAACUGUACCAAAUCCGUAUCAGAUACAGAUUCUGACUGAAAAUCAUUAUAUAAUGCAUGCUAAAUUCUGCCUGUGAAUUUGUUUACUGGCAUGUAAAUGGAGAAAGAGCCACAUCUUAUUGUUCUGGACCUCCUAUCAUUAUGCUCUUUUUCAGGAACAGAGAGAAACAUGUAAAGAUUGGCUUGAAGCUGCAAAUAUGCUUCAUAGAAAAGAAGGAAAGAUAAGUCUGGUGGAUUAACAUGCACAGGAAAGGGGGAAGUGACUCUGAACUUCUACGCCCUUCAGUUUACUCCAUGUUGUUUUCUCCAGACACUGUGCCCUUUUUUUAUCCCUGUCCCCCAUCUCAACUGGGCCCAGUUCCAUGUCUUCCCUAGCAGGUUGCUGGCAGGUAGGGUACAAUGAAAGAAUGAAUAGCCCAGCGUGGUGGCCAGCUGUUUGUUGGUCCUUAUAGCAACCACCAGUGCCUUGUUUUAUCACAGACAGGGUAGCCCUUAAAGGCUUUACCUUGCAGAUUGGAAAUGUGUCAUAACAAGGCAAAGGAGGUAUGAGCAGAUAUCCUCCACUGACUCGUGUUUGCUUUGCAUGAAUGAAAAAUAAAGGAAGAAAUUAGCAGCGGCAUGAAAUUUAAGGAAUUGGUGUUCUAUAUCUUUUUUUAUUACUUAUCUCUGAAGUAGGAUGACAUGUGGAUGGGAACUACUCUUCCCUUCUGCAAUGUCUCAACAGUCAGGUCAUGAAAGGGAUGCUUCCACCUCCACUUACUCCAAGGCUGAAAUCCUCAAGACAGGUUAUUUAUUCCCCUGCUCUGCAUCCAUCCAUGUAAUUCUGGAUGCCCUUUGCCUGGAGGAAGUCACAGCCCAGCUCAAGGUGCAGAGGCUUCCUUAAUAGCGUGGGAGGAGAAGUGGGAGUGGAUUUCGCAGAAACCUCUGAUCAGGAAGCUGCCUGAGCAAGCCAGUGGGGAAUGGCUGCAUUCCAGGGGAGUUUCCUAAUUGCUGUGCCACUGGGGUGUGCUGGGGAGCAGAUUUCGGCCAGUGCCAAACAGUGGAGUCUUCAGCUGCCUUUGCCCAAGCACUUGACCGAGGGGUUGUGCUUGAAGGCUGUUUCCUGAUUCGGCCCUGCAGGUGAGGCAGGGAGGGAGCUUCCUGUUGUGGGAAUCUCCUUCAGGCUUUAGGGGUGAAGUAGCAGCUUUCAAGCUCUGUCAAAAUAAUGAGGCCAAGAUUCCUUGGCUUACGGCAGAAGUUUAGGUUCAUAGUAAGUGUUCCAGUACCAACAGGUGUCUUGCCGGAGAUGGUGAAGCUCUGCAAUGCCUUUGAACCUUUCAAGAACUGGUGCCAAAUGACGAAAAUGUCUGGUAGCUGCAUUGUGCCCAAAAUAACAGGUUAAAACAGGUUUUAUGCUUGCAGGGGUGUUUUUUCACCAUGUGAAUUCAAUACUCUGGUUUUGCACCUGUGACAAGCUGAAGUGCUGUUUGCCUCUUUCCUGGCCCUCAACUAACUGCAGUUUGAAAAAUGUUGUACAAUGUCCUUAACUUGGGUUUUAUAACAAGUAAACAGUACAUCCUGUUAACUUGGUGACAUUGAGUAAAACACAAAUACUGAUGAUUUGUCCCACAUUUUGUUCAGUUUUAUUAUAUGCACUCAAUAUGUAUAAAGAUUGUUUCGAUAAAACUAUUUGUGACUGUGAGUUAAGGAAAACUUCACGGGUUCUCUGUCCACAAUCUUAUCUACUUUAGGAAUUUGUCCAAUUCCCAGAAAUAGAUUUGAAAGCUAGAAAAAAUGGCAGGGAAUGUGAGUUUGCAUCGUCUUUGCAGACUCUCUGUUUCUAUUCUUAUGUAAUUAGUUUUAUGAAGGCAGCAGCUUGCUUACACCAAGUAAAUGAUUUUGUGGGAAGAACAGAACUGUUUUAUACAUAGAAGAAAAGACAUUACAAGUGCCAGUGUUUAAAAAGUGAAGUCAAAUUCGAAUAGGAGAAGUGUCAUCAAUUUGAAAUAGCGUGACUACCACUAGUAUGUCUGUCUUCAAGAUGUCAAUCAUAAAUUAUUGCAGGUAUUACUGAAAGAGAGUCUGUGAUAUUUGUUAGAUGUGAGACCAAAGCAGAUAACUUAGCAGCUUCUAGAAACUUUGACUAUGUGUCCAGCCAAGUGUCUAACUCUUCUAAAACAAGAAAGGAAGGCCAUGUUAAAUACCUAAUGCUUGAUAGUCGAUGGUAGGAAUAGCCUCCAAAGUUCCCCUAUAACCACUAGGAAAAAAGUAGACUCCUUUGAAGAGGUCGUUCAUAAUAACAAAGAUGGCUGCUUGAAGAAGACAGUGUGAGUACUCCUUAGUAUCAAAGUUUUCAGCAAGUAUGACAUGUCCUCAAUAGACUGAGGCAGCUUCUUAAAGCUAGUGCACUGGUGAAGUUUUAUUGACAUAUUGUUCUUGAAAUGUCCGUUAUUCAACUUAAUCUGAAACACCAGACAAAUGCAUCUACAAAUAGUGACUAUAUAAAACGUUUUCUGCUGGAGAAGUUUUUCAGAUUAAUGCAAAUUUAAAUACCUCUACCCUCUUAUUUAUUUAUGGCUGAAAUCCUGGAGUCACAAUCAUAACUCUUUGCAGUGGAAUUGGUAUCGUCAUUGGUGACAUAAGUAGUAGUCCUCCAAGAAUGAAUAAAUAGACUGACCUUGUGUCUCACAUAAUUAAUAUCCUACGUAAUCCUUGAGUUACUCCACCUAUAUAUGUUGGAAUUUAGUUCUAGAAUCACUGUAAGAGUGAAAUACAUGACACUGUAUUGAAUGUCAGGAUCCAGGUCUCAAAAGUAUGGACCUUUUUAUACUAGGAAAAUAAUAGAGCAAUUAAGUGAAGGAGGGCAGAAAAGAAAAUAGAAAGGGAGUAGGCAUGUUCUCACCUGCAUGUCUCAUCUAAAAUGUUUAUAUGUUUUAGUUAAGCAGUAUAUCAAGACAAUAUACAAUAAGGCAUUGUUUAUAUAGCUCAUAACAGUAGUAAGGAAGCUAUUUACCCUGAUCUCUUAAAAAAGUCAUGCUGUUCAUCCCUCCAUAUCAGCCAGUCCCCAGAAAAUAGCAUUUGGGCAGUUUCAGCUGUGCAACACAGGCAGAGGUCUCACAGCCACUAAGUUUCUAGAUGUUGUUCAGAGCAGCUGGUGUGGUGGGCUUCUGGUAGGGGCUGUUUCCUCAGAGUCAACAGAACUAGCUGUAAAAUCAGAGCCUAAUCUUGAAUCGGAUAUUAAAAACUGCACCAGCUGUACUUGUGUGCAGCCACUACCUCUUCCUACUUCUUCUUACCCCAUCUACUCCAGCUGCCAUCCAGAGGCAGCUUCCCUGCUCUUGUUUUCAUGAGUUUGGAAAUAUGCUCUUAUAGGGAGAUAUACAACACAGACGGAAAGGCUUCAUAUGAGUCUCUCUUUUACUGGACACAAAAAAAUUCAUAUAAAUAGUGUGAAGCAAUAAAACUUGAAUUAGAAUUUGUGCCUUCUUAGAUGUUCAGUCAAUCAGGCUUAAGACACAAAUCCAAGGGCAAAAAGUUUCCUUAGAUUGAUUUUCACUGAACUAUGUUUUAAUUAAUCUGGCUUUCAACUUUGGUUUCCAGCAGGACAAUUACUACGCACUAGAAUGACAGCUUUGGUAUUCUCCUGGGAGAUGAUCAACUUCAUUAUUUAAAUAAUCAGAUGAAAUCUGGGACUAGCAAAUCUUAACUUUGUACUAAAUUAGAAUACCAUGUCCAGUUUCAGUCACCAGACUUGAAGAAAGAAGAGAAUCAGCUGGAGACAGUCCAGAGGAGAGAGACGAGAAAGAUCAGAACUGUAGAAAUUAUAACCUAAAAUUAAAAAUAGAGUAAAUUAUGUUAGUUUAGUCUGACACAGAAAAGAUAGAACAAAGACAUUAUAACACAAGAUGUUGCUCCAAGGAGGAAGAGAACAAUCUAUUUCCCCUGCCUAUGUUUGAUAGAACAAGAAGUAAUGGGCUUAAAUUACAGCAAGGAAGAUUUAUUUUAGAAAUUACAGAAAACUUUAAUGGUGAGGAUAGGGAAUAGAUUGCUUGGCAAGCUUUUGGAGUUUCCAUCUCCACUGGAGAUCUGUAAGAUCAGAGUGCUUGAAUAACUGCUUCCUGCAGGCAGGAGGAUGGAUUAGGUGUCUUCUAGUCGUCCCUUCUAGUCCUGCUGUAUAUUUUACUCUAGUAGUAAAACUAGUUUAAAAGAUAGGCUUCAUGUACUCUCCUUAUGCUAUCUCAUCCUUGUCUUCAGGCAGUGAUAAAAUCCUUCUGUAGAAAAGAGAGUAAACAAUGCUAUUACUCCAGUGAUCUUGUAAUGAAAAAUGAAAAUACAUCUCAGAAUAAAGUACUUUUUGAUAUACCUUCAUUUAGGUAAUUGCACAGAAGUACUUGGAAAGUUGGCUGUAAUAGGGGAAAAACAUAUAAUAUGAUAAAAUUCAUUUGUUUAAAAUUACUUUUUUGGCACCUGUUACUGUUGUACUGAAUGAUACCACUGUAGAUCACUCAUGUGGGAACUUGAGAAAUCAAUUGAAUAAAAUUGCCCUAAUUGCGCUCAGAAUACCCAAUAUAGUUUUAGAUUUUUAUAUUAUCAUCCCUUCUAUUUUAAAAAUUUCAUUUACCUGGAAAUAUUAGAAGUAGCAUUUUAGUUCUCAAAAAAUGUAUGUAUCAUGUGAAAUCCAUCACAAAACUGAAUGGAUAAAGUGUAGACAUUUCAGAGAUGAUAACUUUAAAAAUCCCUAUUACUGGCUUUGUGGUUGAAUCCUCCAGAAUAAAAUGGUUGAGUCAAGGAGGCUGACUGCUGACUCAUGAUUUCCAAACACACACUCUAGAGACAGAGUUUUGAAUCUAUGAUUUUUUAAAUUCUGGACAGUCUUUGUUUUUUCACAGUUUACAUUAUAACUUGGAUGCAGUUUGUUUGCGUUGCCUGUAAUAUGGCUGGGGCAUAGCACUUCUACUGCAGAAUGUCACAGAAAUCUGACUCGGUUGUUCUGUUUCUCGAAUAUUUGAUUUUUAAAUAGUCUGUUCAAUUGGGGAAAGUCGUCUUUGAAAAAAACAGGAGCAGAGAAAUUGGUUUAAAUUCAGGGUAGCAAUGCCCAACCCAAGGCACCUUGCCUGCUACCUGGAUCCUCUUUCCCCUGUAGCUGCUUGGACCCCAGGAGGCCUUGGUCCCAAAGAAGGGCACCGCCAGCGGUCAGAGCCAAGCAGACAGCUGCCCUGGCACCACGGAGCCAUGAUGAGCUCAGCUGUGGGUCCUGGCUCCUGGGAUACGCUGUCAGUCCUUUCUCGGGUUCCUCAGACAUAGACCUGGGGGAACACUGUACCUACAGGUUCCAGAUUGGUGACACAUGGACUGAAUGUCGCUGCUGGGACACUUCACCUCAUCCCAGGCUUACUUCAAACCUUCUUCCUCCCUUUAGCUUCCCCCUAAGAGACACAGAGACACACAUACAAUGGGACCAGGUGCGUACCAUGGAUAUAUGUAUAUGAUGUGUAAUCCUUUUCUGCCAUUGAAAUAUCUGUGCGGCCUACGUGGUGGGUAAGGCUUAGCAACAUCACCUGAAGCAUAGGUAGAACGGAUGGGAGACUCUACAUGUCCUGCUUGUUGGGAAAAAGGGUUCAGCUGGGGCUGAAGGCAAAGUAAAUAGGGAACAUGUGGUUUAAAAAUGCCACCAAGAUUUAUCGUGAGUUUGGGUCAAGUCAUAUCAGAGUUUAGCUGACUCUGCAAGGCUGCAACAAUAGAAACAUGUGCACUGAAAGGAUGUGGCCACUUAUUCAAUGAAUGGGAAACAGCCAAAAUUCUGGAGGCUUCACUAGAGUGUAAAUGUUAGGCUUGGAUACAUGUGCUCCUGCAGACAUAUGUGCCCUGUAGAUUUCAGCCCUGUAGAGUUAUCUCAAGUCACCUUUAAAUUAAAUUGGUUAGCUGUUGGAAGCAGUCUCACUUCAGUAAAAGGCAGCUUUGUCCAUGGAAGUUAUUGGCAAGAUGUUUUGCCUUCUCAAAACUGUGGAGCUUCUACUGCUUGAAGUCAAUUGCUUACAGCAAGCUCAAUAGGACCUUGCCACUGGUAUUUCUCAAACUGUGACCCACAGCAAAUUACUGGAACAUGUUAGAAUACUGAGUUUUAACAAGACAAAGAUUCAUUCCUUAUGGCUCUAACUGUUAAGAACACGUGUUCAUAUGAACACGUGUUCAUAUGAAAAACACAUUAAAAUGCAAACAAGUUUAAUAAACAGUCAAACUUAACUGAGGAGCUCAAAAGAAAAUAGAUAGUUUCAAGAAGCAACAUUCUUCACAGAUUUUUGUUAUCUUUUUAAAACCAUCACCUCUAUUCUGGGCAUUCACAUUCUCUGAUGGAGACCAGGCACGUGUUCAAAUUGGUUUUACAGGUACAUUUCCUUACAUUCAAUAGACACAAUGGAUUUUAAACAGUUUCAUAGCAACGGAUGGUUCAUGAUGGCCAUUAACCUAGAUAAGUGAGUAUCAGUUUGUCGCAUCCUUAAUGGUCCGUAAUGGUCUGUGGGUAAAAAAUUCUUUCUCUUCGUCUGUUCCUAAGAGAUGCUUUUUCUUUUGUUUUUGUCUUUUUCGUAGACUUUGUUUUACAAAGCAAGUUCAUGUGAAUUUUUCAUUCAGGAAAAACAAUUAAUACCCAAAAGCUUUAUGGUAAAACUGUUUACCACAAAAAACAUUUAUAUUUCUCUGGAAUGUAGAAGUCAUAGUAUAUACUAACAGGUAAUCAAAACUUUAAAAAGUUGAAUAUAUACCUCGACAGCAGCUAAACAGACAUUCCUAAAUAGCAGAGAGAUUUAAAUGACUGCUGCUUGCAUGUUGGAAUUCAGAAAGGCAGUUUCACGUUCUGCUUUAAUAUUAAAUUCCUUUAUGCUGCUUGGACACAUCGUGUCGCCUUGACGAGACAAAAUACUGCCAGUGCCGUGUUGGAGGAGGAAGGCACUGUGGUAUACGAUGGAUGAAGCUGGCGCAAAGCCCUGAGAAGAGCAGACCCCAGGUGCUCCGGGCAGUGCAGAGCUGGGGUGUCAGGAUUAGUGCUGGGGUUCUCCGUCCCCCAGAGCCGCCGGUAUCGUCGACAGAAGCUCCUAGUGAACAUGCGACACUUGCUGGGGGAGGAAAACCGAACAUCUCGGAGGAAAUUGCACCACCUGUCAGAGUGGCAUAAGUUUGGCAUAAGUGCCUCACACCCCCCACUCACACAAACCGCUGUGCCAGCACGCUGUGUACACUGUGGCUUGUGAUUUACCUACCACACACGUGUGCCUGCAGCGAUGGAGCUGUGUAGGAAGGCUUUUGUAGCACAUAUGUGGGUUCAAUUCCAUCCUCGAGACUCUACCAGGGUUUACUAUAUAGUCACAUAAAACUGUGUUUUAAAAAUACCGCUUUAAUGUACCUUGGACUGAUUAUAUGUGAUAUGUAUUUGCAUGAACCUUAAUGAGACUUACAAAAGUAACAGGCAAAUUUUAGAGAAAAUUGGAUUAAAUUAUUUAAUUCUCCAUACUUAAAGACUUUAGAUUUUAAUCAAGUAUUGGGUCUGAGACAAAUACCUCUUAGACUGGAUGUUUAAAAUAACUCAAUUUUAAAAACAAAUAUGUAUAAUCUCAUGUGCAUUAUCACCAAUGCAUUUUAUAGCAGUAAUUCCUAGAGAUAUGAACAUCAAAAUGACAGGUUUCAAAAGCCAGCAUAGGCCUUUCCCAAAGCUCCGGGUUGGAUUUUGCUGUGUUUCUGUAUUGGGGUGGUAUCCUGUGCUGCUGCAAGCCCAGUCAUCCCUGUGCAGACUUUGUGAGACACCUGCAUUGAACUUUAUCGGUGCAGUUCUGGUUCCCAAUGGGGCAAUGCAAUACCAAUCCUGGUUUUGCCUAGUAUGUAGAACAGGUUCUCUGAUAUCUGCCUGAAAUGCAGUCUUUACAGAACAAAAACAUGAAAGAGGUGGUUUGAAUUCUGGUUGGUUAUUCACUGUGCCCGUGGUCACAAUGCCUCCCCACCUCAGGAGUAUUGAGGACUUCAUACAUUUUAUAAAGUUUGUGGAUUUCCAAGUUUCCUUCAGCUUGGUGUUUCUUUCCCACCUGGCUCCCAGAGUUCUGGUGGACUUUCUGUUAGACUGAACAGAUCAUUUUUGGGUGGUGGAACUGGUAAGUCCCAGACCCUUUCAGGUAGUUCCUACCACCCUUUUAAGCUCCUGCUCCUACAGGAUUAAUCUCAUGGAUAUUUCACAUCAGGUAACUCUCAGACAUAGGUUUGUCUGCUUGUCUGGAAAUAUGUGUGUAUGUGUGGCCAUGUGGGAUGGGAUUAAUUAAUUUUUUCUCUCUUCUGCUUACUGGUCACCAUCCAUACUUGUUCAUACCACACAGCAGGUUUUGAUGGCAGCCAUCGUGUACAUGAAAAUGACCUGGGCUUGCAAGAAGCCCACCUCUACUAGACAUUUUGUUGGUUAUUGUGAGGUAAUGAGAAAUUGUCCUGGCCUAGCAGAAGGUAUUUGUAUUUGUUAAUUGGAAAGAAGACAAUAAAACCUUUUGAAAGUUAACUUGUUUGAUUUAUAUAUCUAUAGAUGGUCAUAAGAAUGCUUUGGUGAUAAACAGCAAGAAACUUUUAAUAAGACUUUUUUAAGUUAGGCAAUUUUGACUACAAUUUUAAUAACAGUGAAGUAAUCAUAAUUCUAAAAUCAUUUAAUAAGUUUGUUGCGACCUUAAGACAUUACUAGUGUAGAAUUAUGUAGGCAUAAAUGAAUUUAUGUUUGACUAAUGAAAUAAUAUAUUCUGGAAGUGCUGUGGAAUACACAAAUAUAGAAGCUAAACAGUUUGAAUUUCAGUAUGCUUAAGAAAUAAUACUUCAGACCUUUUCCCAACAUGACACAUUUACUUUCUGUGGAUCAGGUUGUCCUGUCAGGGUAAAGAAGCUGUGUCUGUAGUGGGGAUAAGAAACCUCUGGCAAUGCUUUUCUUUCAGGCUGCUUCUGGAGUUACUUUUAAUAAUAGUAUGGCUAGUCGCAUGUGAUACUAGCAAAGGUACUAAGUGUCCGUUAAACUUAAUCUAAUCUCAGUUGAAUCUGGUGUCAAAAGUCUUUAAUGUCUCUAAGUCUUCCACUCUUCUGCUACAUUUGGUUGAAAUUGUCCAAAAAAUUGAAAAAUUACCAGGAAAAAUGAGGUAAUAGUCGAGUGACAGGAUAAUGAGCCUGCAGAGACCUCAUUUCCUUAGGACAUUAUACAACAAAGUGAACAGUCCGCUGCAUGGGGCAUCUUUAGUAUUUAGCUAUAUAGUUGUUAUAUUUCAGUUAAUCUUACUGCCAGUUUGUGUAGAAAAAAAGAAAGUUUACUUAACAACAACAGCAAAAAGCUAAUGAGUCUUCACCAUGCUUGGCUUUUUCCUUGGAAAACGUAAGAGUUAAACUGAAUAUAUUCUACCUCAAGCUAGCUGGAGUUAGCAUUUCUGAUCAGAACAUCCAGUUCUUUCUUCUAUCUUUUCUUUUAAAAUUAUGUUUUUAUUUCAACCGCUUUCUACCAGCAGGCAAAGCUGCUGUUACACUCUACCCAGCUGUGAAAUCAAUAUGAUUUUCAUUACAAAGAUAACAGAAACUCUCUUAGAAAGACUGUGAAUUGCCAAAGGUCAAAUAACAGUCAGUGGCAGAGCUUAGAAUUUAGAUGUCCUAAUUAAAAAACCUCGCGGUAUAAAUAUAUUAAUGAAAUGCACUCUGAGAAAUGUUUGCAUUUAAGAUGGCAACUAUUUUAAACUAUUACAUUGUUUCUUUAAUUACUGUAGUUCAUGGAAGUCACAUCAAAAUGUGAUGAAUUAUUUCUCUGGUUUAUGACUGUUUCUUAUGAAAUAAGUAUUAGCUUUUUUUU